rnacentral:rRNA from 1 species
AACGUUAGCGGGAUGUUUUAAACAUGUAAGUCGAGCGGCAGCAUUUAGGAUGGCGAGCGGCGGACUGGUGAGUAUCGCGUGGGUAUCUACCUUAUGGACUGGGAUAGCUCUUGGAAACAAGGAUUAAUACCAGAUAUGUACAUGUAUGAAAGAGGCGUUUGCCUCACCGUAAGAUGAGCCUGCGUCCCAUUAGUUUGUUGGUGAGGUAAAAGCUCACCAAGACGACGAUGGGUAGCCGGCCUGAGAGGGUGAUCGGCCACAUCGGGAUUGAGAUACGGCCCGGACUCCUACGGGAGGCAGCAGUUAAGAAUAUUCCACAAUGGGCGAAAGCCUGAUGGAGCAAUUCCGCGUGGAGGAUGAAGGCAUUCGUGUUGUAAACUCCUUUCAACAAGGAAGAAUAAACAAGUAGGAAAUGGCUUGUGAUGACAGUACUUGUAGAAGAAGCACCGACUAAUUACGUGCCAGCAGUCGCGGUAAUACGUAAGGUGCAAACGUUGUUCGGAAUCACUGGGCGUAAAGGGUACGUAGGCGGCUAACUAAGUUAUCGGUGAAAUUUCAAAGCUUAACUUUGAAUCUGCCAAUAAAACUGUUUAGCUUGAGUCACAAUAGGGGUGGCCAGAAUUUCUAGUGUAGGAGUGAAAUCUGUAGAUAUUAGAAGGAAUACCAAUAGCGAAGGCAAGCCACUGGGUAGUGACUGACGCUCAUGUACGAAAGUCAGGGGAUCAAAUGGGAUUAGAGACCCCAGUAGUCCUGACCGUAAACGAUGCACACUAGCUUUAUAGAUUCUUUAUCUGUAUAGCGAAGUUAACACAUUAAGUGUGCCGCCUGGGGAGUAUGCACGCAAGUGUAAAACUCAAAGGAAUUGACGGGGGCUCGCACAAGCGGUGGAGCAUGUGGUUUAAUUCGAUGAUAAGCGAAAAACCUUACCUGGGCUUGAACGUAUAGUGACAUCUUGAGAAAUCUAGUUUCCUUUUUUAGGCACUAUAUGAGGUGCUGCAUGGCUGUCGUCAGCUCGUGUUGUGAAAUGUUGGGUUAAGUCCCGUAACGAGCGCAACCCUUGUCCUAUGUUACUAAUCUUUUUUGAAGGACUCUUAGGAGACUGCCCCGGUUAACGGGGAGGAAGGUGGGGAUGAUGUCAAGUCCUCAUGGCCCUUAUGUCCAGGGCUACACACGUGCUACAAUGGGUUGUACAAAGGGAAGCAAAACCGCGAGGUCUAGCAAAUCCCAUAAAACUUCCCUCAGUUCCGAUCGUAGUCUGCAACUCGACUACGUGAAGCUGGAAUCGCUAGUAAUCGCAGAUCAGCAUGCUGCGGUGAAUACGUUCUCGAGCCUUGUACACACCGCCCGUCACACCACCCGAGUCGAUUUUACUUGAAGUCAUU